AAAAAAAAAAGAAGAAAAAAAAAAAAGAAAAAAAAACCAAACCCACCCCCUAAGAUUUGACUGAUACAGAGGUUUCAAAAGACACUGUUACUGUGAGUUUUAUGGAAAAACAGUGACUGUGCAGAGCAAAAGGAGAUUACUAAUGACCUCCCUCAGGAGAAGCUGUGUCAGCUCCAUCUCUGAUGGGAAAACUUGAAUUGCUCUAAGGAGUCGUUACCGUCCUUGAGGAGGUUUCACUCGUGCAUUUGCAGAAAGUGCUUGAAAUACCAAAAUACUUCAUCUCCAGCUAUGAAAAUGCUUGUAUUUUCACCAAGGCACAGCUCUUCGAAGGGAAUUUUCAUCCCAGGAGGGUUGCUUUGUGAGGAGUUCCUUUCUCUGAAGAUGGAAUAAACAACAAUACUCUGCAAAUGUCUACAACAUUUCAGGCAAGGCAACAUAUUGAUUUUACACCUGUUGAGAAACUAUAGUUGUAAUAUAUUUACUCAUGUUCAGAAGUUACAAAAACACCUGCACGUUGAAGAGAAGCUUUUGGUUCAGCUAUUCACAGUGGCAUUCUCUUUAAACAGUAACAGUUUUU